GGAGUUAGCCGGUGCUUCUUCUGUGAGUGAUGUCCUUCCUGCCGGUUAUUGACCCGCAGGCCUUCUUCCUCACUGAAAGUGCUUUACAACCCGAAGGCCUUCUUCACACACGCGGCAUGGCUGGAUCAGGGUUGCCCCCAUUGUCCAAUAUUCCCCACUGCUGCCUCCCGUAGGAGUCUGGGCCGUGUCUCAGUCCCAGUGUGGCUGAUCAUCCUCUCAGACCAGCUACGGAUCGUCGCCUUGGUGAGCCGUUACCUCACCAACCAGCUAAUCCGACAUAGGCUCAUCCGAUAGCGCGAGGCCCGAAGGUCCCCCGNUUUCCCCCGUAGGGCGUAUGCGGUAUUAGCCUGGGUUUCCCCAGGUUAUCCCCCACUACCGGGCAGAUUCCUAUGCAUUACUCACCCGUCCGCCGCUCGCCACCAGGGAGCAAGCUCCCCGUGCUGCCGCUCGACUUGCAUGUGUAGCUCGCCGCCACGCGUCAUCUGAGCAUGAUACAACUACUCGA
rnacentral:rRNA from 1 species